rnacentral:rRNA from 1 species
AGGGCACCAAUUUGACUCAACACGGGAAACCUCACCCGGCCCGGACACGGACAGGAUUGACAGAUUGAUAGCUCUUUCUCGAUUCCGUGGGUGGUGGUGCAUGGCCGUUCUUAGUUGGUGGAGCGAUUUGUCUGGUUAAUUCCGAUAACGAACGAGACUCUGGCAUGCUAACUAGUUACGCGACCCCCGAGCGGUCGGCGUCCCCCAACUUCUUAGAGGGACAAGUGGCGUUCAGCCACCCGAGAUUGAGCA